GAGGGUAUAGCUCAAGUCGUAGAGUGUGUGCUUAGCAUGCAUGAGGCUCUGGGUUCAAUCCCCAGUACCUCCA
rnacentral:tRNA from 1 species